CUCUUCUCUUCUUUCAGAAAGGAAGGAUAUGGCGUAGUUUCUUUUGGUUCCGGUGUAAUCUGGAUCGUAUAUAUUCUCGUUUUCGAGAUCAAUAAAUUCCGAUUUACUGUCGGAUCUUUAUACCGGUUAAAUCCGCUUUUUUCUCUCGCUUUUAGCGGGAUUCGAUCUCCCUCCAUCCUCGCUUUUCAUCGAUUCACCGGUUUCUCUUCAAAGAUUUCUCUAUUUUCUCCAAUUGAUCGAGGAGUAACAUCUUCAUCGCGUCUUUUGCUCUAAACGAGAGAUCAACGUUGGAUUCAGAUCUACAUCAAGAUGGGUGUAGUCGGUGGUGGAGCUUCCCCGGAGUUGGUGUUUUACAGAAACUUUUUGAAGUUGUGAUUGUCUCUCAAUCCGAGAGAUUCGAUGUCCUUUUGGGUUGGAUUCGAGGUCGGCAGAAGACAAGCGGAUACUCAUCGCUGCAUGACUCAUUGGCGGCGGCUAAUCGAAGUUUCAGCGAUGUCCGGCGAGUUUGACGGCGAUGCGACAAUCCUCGCCACGUAGUUAGGCGAAGACACAUCCUAUACACGUGUCGUUACUUACUUAAUCAUAAUUUGUGUUUAAUUAUUAUUUAAUAUGGGCCGUUUAUUGUCG